GAUGAACGCUGACAGAAUGCUUAACACAUGCAAGUCAACUUGAACUUCGGUUUGGGUGGCGGACGGGUGAGUAACGCGUAAAGAACUUGCCUCACAGCUAGGGACAACAUUUGGAAACGAAUGCUAAUACCUGAUAUUAUGAUUUUAGGGCAUCCUAGAAUUAUGAAAGCUAUAUGCGCUGUGAGAGAGCUUUGCGUCCCAUUAGCUAGUUGGAGAGGUAACGGCUCACCAAGGCGAUGAUGGGUAGCCGGCCUGAGAGGGUGAACGGCCACAAGGGGACUGAGACACGGCCCUUACUCCUACGGGAGGCAGCAGUGGGGAAUAUUGGACAAUGGACCAAGAGUCUGAUCCAGCAAUUCUGUGUGCAAGAUGAAGUUUUUCGGAAUGUAAAGUGCUUUCAGUUGGGAAGAAAAAAAUGACGGUACCAACAGAAGAAGUGACGGCUAAAUACGUG
rnacentral:rRNA from 1 species